CGGCCGCAGCCUGGGACCCGGGUCUGCUGGCUCCCGGAGAACACCGGCGCUCCGAAGAUUCACUGAGCUCCCUCCCUGAAGCCUCUCUGCAGCCACUGACUGGACAUCUUAGCUAUUGGCUGAUCAGUACUUUAUUAACCAGUUAGAGUUGAUGGAAACUGCCACCAGAUCUCUGGGCACAGAAAACAGCAUCUGAAUACACAGUGCACAAAACCAUCCCCCAACAAGCUUCCUUCUUCCGUGUAUAGGCUUCUAGCAGGAAGUAUGGCCCAGAUUAAAGAUGUGUCUUCUCACCUCAAAAUCUGAAUCAAAGGUGUGCCCUCCAUUUUUGGAUUUUAGUUCAUUCCAGAUGUGGUCCAGUUGAUAACCA
rnacentral:lncRNA from 1 species